AACGCACAUUGCGCCCCUUGGUAUUCCAUGGGGCAUGCCUGUUCGAGCGUCAUCUACACCCUCAAGCACUGCUUGGUGAUGGGCGUCUGUCCCGCCUCCGCGCGCGGACUCGCCCCAAAGGCAUUGGCAGCGGUCCUGACCGCCUCUCGCGCAGCACAUUUGCGCUUCUCGAGGCAUCGGAGGCCUGCGUCCACGAAGCCCAUCUUUAUUUUUUUGACCUCGGAUCAGGUAGGGAUACCCGCUGAACUUAA
rnacentral:misc_RNA from 1 species